rnacentral:rRNA from 1 species
GAUUGAACGCUGGCGACCUGCCUUACACAUGCAAGUCGAACGGCAGCACGGGUGCUUGCCCCUGGUGGCGAGUGGCGAACGGGUGAGUAAUACAUCGGAACAUGUCCUGUAGUGGGGGAUAGCCCGGCGAAAGCCGGAUUAAUACCGCAUACGAUCUACGGAUGAAAGCGGGGGACCUUCGGGCCUCGCGCUAUAGGGUUGGCCGAUGGCUGAUUAGCUAGUUGGUGGGGUAAAGGCCUACCAAGGCGACGAUCAGUAGCUGGUCUGAGAGGACGACCAGUCACACUGGGACUGAGACACGGCCCAGACUCCUACGGGAGGCAGCAGUGGGGAAUUUUGGACAAUGGGCGAAAGCCUGAUCCAGCAAUGCCGCGUGUGUGAAGAAGGCCUUCGGGUUGUAAAGCACUUUUGUCCGGAAAGAAAUCCUUGGCCCUAAUACGGUCGGGGGAUGACGGUACCGGAAGAAUAAGCACCGGCUAACUACGUG